UUACACUCAGUCACGAGUAUUCAAGUGAGCUUUUUAUGCAUCGUAGUUGUGUAUCGACGUGGCCCAUUCACGGAUGUUUACUUCUUUAUAUAUACGUGUAGUCUAUUGUGGGUGGUGCGACCCACUUGCAAAAAAUGUAUCAAUUUAAAUGUUUUUACUAAUUUACUCUUUUACAUCACCAGCAAGUUUUUAUUUUUAGAUGAAACCGAAAAGGUCAUGCAUCAAAUUGCAGCAAUAAAAGAGUUCACAAAUAAUUGAGUUUGGACGCUGGAGACUUGAUGACAUAUCACUUCAAAUGGAAGUAAUACGGUCGUAGCAAUGAGAAUAAUAGUAAUAAUAAUAAGAGAAAAAAUAUAAACAUAAUUUAGGGCAAAAGUGGGGUAAAGUAGUGACAUUGUUU